rnacentral:rRNA from 1 species
UAGGGAAUCUUCGGCAAUGGACGAAAGUCUGACCGAGCAACGCCGCGUGAGUGAAGAAGGUUUUCGGAUCGUAAAACUCUGUUGUUAGAGAAGAACAAGGACGUUAGUAACUGAACGUCCCCUGACGGUAUCUAACCAGAAAGCCACGGCUAACUACGUGCCAGCAGCCGCGGUAAUACGUAGGUGGCAAGCGUUGUCCGGAUUUAUUGGGCGUAAAGCGAGCGCAGGCGGUUUCUUAAGUCUUUUGUGAAAGCCCCCGGCUCAACCGGUGAGGGUCCUUAGAAACUGCGAGACUUGCGUGCAGAAGAGGAGAGUUGAAUUCCAUGUGUAGCGGUGAAUUGCGUCGAUAUAUGGUGGAACACCAGUGGCGAAGGCGGCUCUCUGGUCUGUAACUGACGCUGAGGCUCGAAAGCGUGGGGAGCAAACAGG